CGCAUACCUCUAUUGCACUUCACACUUCUCUGCCUUUACAAAGAGCUGGUGGUCUAGGAGGCGCUGAAGCACCCUGCGGACAUGCUGAAUGUGGUUCUCAAGAUCGGGGGAGACGAUGAGGAUAUGGUUGAGGUAAACAAAAACUAACUCAUUCAACAUGUCACGGAAUACAUCAUUCUCAAGGGCCUGAAACACAGCUGGGGCAUUGCGAGCUAAAGUCCAUAGAUGAAAACAUCAAACAGUAAAGACUGAGUCCAGCCACUCUCCAUGGCCAGGGAGCGGAACGCCACGCAGUCUGCGACUCUUUGCUGGGCCUUUGCGGAGCCCCAACAAUGCUCUGGCCACUUCUCUGCCUGGAGAAAUAUGCUGGAAUUACUGGGUGAAGGCUCGGAAAAGCUGAAAGGAGUGGCAUAUGGCAUAGGGGUGAGUCUCACCACCAUUCCGCUGUGGCCUACGCCUCAGCUUGUCUGGACAGAUUGGAAAUAACAUUGGCAAUCUUAGCUCUUUCUGAGUUAAAAAAGCUCGUAAGUCACCAGAGUAAGCCACGGGAAUUGCGGACGGCCAGGUAGGCAAUCUGCUCACACACGGUGGUCCAGAGGCCCACUUGUUGCUUGGACACGCCUUGCAUCUCCGGUCUUUUAUAAAAACAAUUGUGUUUAUAAAAAACUUGUGGUGGAAAA